rnacentral:rRNA from 1 species
GGCGGCGUGCUUAACACAUGCAAGUCGAACGGAAAGGCCUCUGCUUGCAGAGGUACUCGAGUGGCGAACGGGUGAGUAACACGUGGGUGAUCUGCCUUGCACUUCGGGAUAAGCCUGGGAAACUGGGUCUAAUACCGGAUAGGACCAUGCUUUAGUGUGUGUGGUGGAAAGUUUUUCGGUGCAAGAUGAGCCCGCGGCCUAUCAGCUUGUUGGUGGGGUAAUGGCCUACCAAGGCGACGACGGGUAGCCGGCCUGAGAGGGUGUACGGCCACAUUGGGACUGAGACACGGCCCAGACUCCUACGGGAGGCAGCAGUGGGGAAUAUUGCACAAUGGGCGCAAGCCUGAUGCAGCGACGCCGCGUGGGGGAUGAAGGCCUUCGGGUUGUAAACUCCUUUCGCUAGGGAAGAAGCCUUUUUGGUGACGGUACCUGGAUAAGAAGCACCGGCUAACUAC